rnacentral:rRNA from 1 species
CCUACCUCUGUUGCUUUGGCGGGCCGCGGUCCUCCGCGGUCCGCCCCCCUCCCCGGGGGGGUGGCCAGCGCCCGCCAGAGGACCAUCAAACUCCAGUCAGUAAACGAUGCAGUCUGAAAAACAUUUAAUAAACUAAAACUUUCAACAACGGAUCUCUUGGUUCUGGCAUCGAUGAAGAACGCAGCGAAAUGCGAUAAGUAAUGUGAAUUGCAGAAUUCAGUGAAUCAUCGAAUCUUUGAACGCACAUUGCGCCCUUUGGUAUUCCGAAGGGCAUGCCUGUUCGAGCGUCAUUACAACCCUCAAGCUCUGCUUGGUAUUGGGCACCGUCCUUUGCGGGCGCGCCUCAAAGACCUCGGCGGUGGCGUCUUGCCUCAAGCGUAGUAGAACAUACAUCUCGCUUCGGAGCGCAGGGCGUCGCCCGCCGGACGAACCUUCUGAACUUUUCUCAAGGUGACCUC